ensembl:misc_RNA 7SK 7SK RNA
GGAUGUGAGGGCGAUCUGGCUACGACAUCUGUCACCCCAUUGAUAGCCAGGGUUGAUUCGGCUGAUCUGGCUGCCUAGGCGGGUAUCCCCUUCCUCCCUCACCUCUCCAUGUGUGUCCCUCCAGAAACUGCCCCCUGGUGAAAGAAGAUAGCCUUCUCAGAAUAGAGACAGACCAGUCUUCAGUCCAGGGUAUAAGAGUAGCUCCCCUGCUAGAACCUCCAAACAAGCUCUCAAGGCCCAACACUAUUCUUUGUGUUUUCAUAAAUUUAUUCAACCUAUAUCUAUCGUAUAAAAUAAGUUUUAACUAUUGAU